rnacentral:pre_miRNA from 1 species
AGUAGGAUAGCUGGGUCAUAUAGUUUCCAUUCUAAUUUUUUGAGGAUUCUCCAGACUGCUUUCAGAGGUGUUGUACUAAUUUGGAGUCCCACCAACAAU